GAUGAACGCUAGCGAUAGGCUUAACACAUGCAAGUCGAGGGGCAGCACAAGGUAGCUUGCUAUCUGGGUGGCGACCGGCGCACGGGUGCGUAACGCGUAUGCAACUUGCCCUAUACAGGAGGAUAACCCGUCGAAAGACGGACUAAUACUGCGUUUGCUCACAACUUGGCAUCAAGUGGUGAGGAAAGAAAUUCGGUAUAGGAUAGGCAUGCGUCCCAUUAGCUUGUUGGUGAGGUAACGGCUCACCAAGGCAACGAUGGGUAGGGGAACUGAGAGGUUUAUCCCCCACACUGGUACUGAGACACGGACCAGACUCCUAUGGGAGGCAGCAGUGAGGAAUAUUGGUCAAUGGGCGCGAGCCUGAACCAGCCAAGUCGCGUGAAGGAUGACUGUCUUAUGGAUUGUAAACUUCUUUUAGACGGGAAUAACAAGAGUCACGUGUGGCUCCCUGCAUGUACCGUAUGAAUAAGCAUCGGCUAACUCCGUG
rnacentral:rRNA from 1 species